ACGCACGCUGGCGGCGUGCUUAACACAUGCAAGUCGAACGGAAAGGCCCCCACCUUGGUGGGGGUGCUCGAGUGGCGAACGGGUGAGUAACACGUGGGUGAUCUGCCCUGUACUUCGGGAUAAGCUUGGGAAACUGGGUCUAAUACCGGAUAGGACCAUGGUUUAGUGUCUCAUGGUGGAAAAAUUAUUGUUUUGGUGCAGGAUGAGCUCGCGGCCUAUCAGCUUGUUGGUGGGGUAAUGGCCUACCAAGGCGUCGACGGGUAGCCGGCCUGAGAGGGUGGACGGCCACAUUGGGACUGAGAUACGGCCCAGACUCCUACGGGAGGCAGCAGUGGGGAAUAUUGCACAAUGGGCGCAAGCCUGAUGCAGCGACGCCGCGUGGGGGAUGACGGCCUUCGGGUUGUAAACUCCUUUCGUUAGGGACGAAGCCACACCUUUUUUGGGUGUGGUGACGGUACCUUUGUGAAGAAGCACCGGCUAACUACGUG
rnacentral:rRNA from 1 species